AUUGAACGCUGGCGGCAGGCUUAACACAUGCAAGUCGAGCGGGGAAAGGUAGCUUGCUACCUGACCUAGCGGCGGACGGGUGAGUAAUGCUUAGGAAUCUGCCUAUUAGUUGGGGACAACAUCUCGAGAGGGAUGCUAAUACCGCAUACGUCCUACGGGAGAAAGCAGGUGACCUUCGGGCCUUGCGCUAAUAGAUGAGCCUAAGUCGGAUUAGCUAGUUGGUGGGGUAAAGGCCUACCAAGGCUACGAUCUGUAGCGGGUCUGAGAGGAUGAUCCGCCACACUGGGACGGAGACACGGCCCAGAAUCCUACGAGAGGCAGAAGUCGGGAAUAUUGGAGAAUGGGGGGAAUCGUGAACCAGCCAUGCCGCGUGUGUGAAGAAGGCCUUUUGGUUGUAAAGCACUUUAAGCGAGGAGGAGGCUAACGAGAUUAAUACUCUUAGAUAGUGGACGUUACUCGCAGAAUAAGCACCGGCUAACUCUGUG
rnacentral:rRNA from 1 species